rnacentral:rRNA from 1 species
GACGUAGGAGACGAGCGUUGUCCGGAUUUACUGGGCGUAAAGCGCGCGCAGGCGGUUAUGUAAGACAGAUGUGAAAUCCCCGGGCUCAACCUGGGACCUGCAUUUGUGACUGCAUAGCUAGAGUACGGUAGAGGGGGAUGGAAUUCCGCGUGUAGCAGUGAAAUGCGUAGAUAUGCGGAGGAACACCGAUGGCGAAGGCAAUCCCCUGGACCUGUACUGACGCUCAUGCACGAAAGCGUGGGGAGCAAACAGG